AGCGAACGCUGGCGGCAGGCUUAACACAUGCAAGUCGAGCGCCCCGCAAGGGGAGCGGCAGACGGGAGAGUAACACGUGGGAACAUACCUUUUGGUUCGGAACAACUGAGGGAAACUUCAGCUAAUACCGGAUAAGCCCUUACGGGGAAAGAUUUAUCGCCGAAAGAUUGGCCCGCGUCUGAUUAGCUAGUUGGUGAGGUAACGGCUCACCAAGGCGACGAUCAGUAGCUGGUCUGAGAGGAUGAUCAGCCUCACUGGGACUGAGACACGGCCCAGACUCCUACGGGAGGCGGAAGUGGGGAAUAUUGGACAAGGGGGCAACCCUGAUCCAGCCAUGCCGCGUGAGUGAUGAAGGCCUUAGGGUUGUAAAGCUCUUUUGCCCGGGAAGAUAAUGACGGUACCGGGAGAAUAAGCCCCGGCUAACUUCGUG
rnacentral:rRNA from 1 species